AUUGAACGCUGGCGGCAUGCCUUACACAUGCAAGUCGAACGGCAGCACGGGUGCUUGCACCUGGUGGCGAGUGGCGAACGGGUGAGUAAUACAUCGGAACAUGUCCUGUAGUGGGGGAUAGCCCGGCGAAAGCCGGAUUAAUACCGCAUACGAUCUACGGAUGAAAGCGGGGGGCUUUGGGGCCUCGCGCUGUAGGGUUGGCCGAUGGCUGUUUAGCUAGUUGGUGGGGUAAAGGCCUACCAAGGCGACGAUCAGUAGAGGGUCUGAGAGGAGGACCAGCCACACUGGGACUGAGCCACGGCCCAGACUCCUACGGGAGGCAGCAGUGGGGAAUUUGGGACAAUGGGCGAAAGCCUGAUCCAGCAAUGCCGCGUGUGUGAAGAAGGCCUUCGGGUUGUAAAGCACUUUUGUCCGGAAAGAAAUCCUUGGCUCUAAUACAGUCGGGGGAUGACGGUACCGGAAGAAUAAGCACCGGCUAACUACGUG
rnacentral:rRNA from 1 species